rnacentral:rRNA from 1 species
CCUACGGGAGGCAGCAGUGAGGAAUAUUGGUCAAUGGACGAGAGUCUGAACCAGCCAAGUAGCGUGAAGGAUGACUGCCCUAUGGGUUGUAAACUUCUUUUAUAAAGGAAUAAAACGAGGCACGUGUGCCUUUUUGCAUGUACUUUAUGAAUAAGGAUCGGCUAACUCCGUGCCAGCAGCCGCGGUAAUACGGAGGAUCCGAGCGUUAUCCGGAUUUAUUGGGUUUAAAGGGUGCGUAGAUGGGUUGUUAAGUCAGUUGUGAAAGUUUGCGGCUCAACCGUAAAAUUGCAAUUGAUACUGGCAGUCGUGAGUACAGUUGAGGUAGGCGGAAUUCGUGGUGUAGCGGUGAAAUGCUUAGAUAUCACGAAGAACCCCGAUUGCGAAGGCAGCUUACUAAACUGUGACUGACAUUGAUGCUCGAAAGUGUGGGUAUCAAACAGGAUUAGAUACCCUUGUAGUC